rnacentral:rRNA from 1 species
UACGAAGGGGGCUAGCGUUGCUCGGAAUCACUGGGCGUAAAGGGUGCGUAGGCGGGUUUUUAAGUCAGGGGUGAAAUCCUGGAGCUCAACUCCAGAACUGCCUUUGAUACUGAGGAUCUCGAGUCCGGAGAGGUGAGUGGAACUGCGAGUGUAGAGGUGAAAUUCGUAGAUAUUCGCAAGAACACCAGUGGCGAAGGCGACUACCUGGCCUGUUCUUGACGCUGAGGCACGAAAGCUAGGGGAGCAAACGGG